GCCGGGUAGCCAUGUUCGGACCGGAUAACCGCUGAAAGCAUCUAAGCGGGAAGCCGACCUCAAGAAUAGCUCUCCCGGACCGUAAGGUCCCUAAAGGCCCCUGGUAGACCACCAGGUUGAUAGGCCAGAGGUGGAAGCGCAGUAAUGUGUGGAGCCGACUGGUACUAAUCGGCCGUGCGGCUUGACCAU
rnacentral:ncRNA from 1 species